rnacentral:rRNA from 1 species
GUUGAACGCUGGCGGCAUGCCUUACACAUGCAAGUCGAACGGCAGCACGGGAGCAAUCCUGGUGGCGAGUGGCGAACGGGUGAGUAAUAUAUCAGAACGUGCCCAGUCGUGGGGAUAACGUAGCGAAAGCUACGCUAAUACCGCAUACGAUCUAUGGAUGAAAGCGGGGGAUCGCAAGACCUCGCGCGAUUGGAGCGGCCGAUAUCAGAUUAGGUAGUUGGUAUGGGUAAAGCCUACCAAGCCUGUGAUCUUUAGCUGUACUGAGAGGUUGGUCAGCCACACUGGGACUGAGACACGGACCAGACUCCUACGGGAGGCAGCAGUGGGGAAUUUUGGACAAUGGGCGCAAGCCUGAUCCAGCAAUGCCGCGUGCAGGAUGAAGGCCU